rnacentral:rRNA from 1 species
GACGAACCGUACGAACGUUAUUCGGAAUCACUGGGCUUAAAGGGUGCGUAGGCUGCGCAGCAAGUUGGGUGUGAAAUCCCUCGGCUUAACCGAGGAACUGCGCCCAAAACUGCUGUGCUCGAGGGAGACAGAGGUGAGCGGAACUUAGGGUGGAGCGGUGAAAUGCGUUGAUAUCCUAAGGAACACCGGUGGCGAAAGCGGCUCACUGGGUCUCUUCUGACGCUGAGGCACGAAAGCUAGGGGAGCGAACGGG